ACCCAGCUGGCUCAGUUGGAAGAGCGUGUGACUGUUGAUCUCACGGUUGUGAGUUCGAGCCCCACAUCGGGUG